rnacentral:lncRNA from 1 species
ACAAAAUACAUUUAUACUAUUUACUAAAACUGCACUGGCUGUGGUUGAUUCAUGAUAUUGGGAUGUGGGCUUCAACAUGCUUUCUUACAAACAACUGGACCCGGGCAGAAAAUUGGAGCUGGUCUCAUUUUCUUCCUGAGCUCUCUCUGUCUUCUGUGGCUCCUUUUCAUCUUUCCAGUUAAUCCUUUCUGGGCAAAGACUCUGACCUGUCAAAAAUCUAGGGUUUAUUGAACACUUACUAUAUCGUAGGCACUGAGCUAGCUGCCUCACACACAGUUUAUUUAAUCUUCAACCCACCCUCCCCACUCCCUGCCACUCAAGACCUGGGGCGUCACCUCUCAUCUGGACUGCUGCCAUGGCUGCAUUUAUUUCUGUGAUUGGUUAAUUAUAUUUAGUCUAUCCCUGGCAC